AGUCUCAUCCCUGGAAAAUCAAUGGCAGUGGACGCAGGUGGCAAACCUUCUCUUAUUUUGUGGAAGAAAGGGGAAAUAAGUGACUGAAUGACCGAAGUGAACUUGAAGUAUGUUGCAUCACUUGAGAAAAAUCUAUAAAAUCUACCUCAGAGAGUCACAAAAUGCAUUAUGGAAUUGCAAGCUAAAGCCAAGGCAUACCCACUCAACAGUGACUCACUGUGCAGCCUGGGCAAGUGUGUGUCUCAGUUCAGGAAGAGGUGAAUGGGGCAGUGAUAGUUCUCAGUCUCAUAAAACACUUCAAGAACUUCCUGUGAAAAGGAGUAGCUCUGUCACUGCCUCAGUCGCUUACCUGCCUCCUUUCUAGCCAAGUAACAUAGGAAGAGCAAAGGACAAAAGCCCUGCAGAAAACUAAUUCCUCCUGCUCAGCAUCUGUUUAUAUCAGAUGUUGGAACCCUCACACAUCCCUUCCUGCCACAUCUGAUAAAAGUGGAAGUUACAAGUGUACUUUGGUGAUCUGCUCUGGGUGAGCCGAAGUGCCUUGGCUCUGGCUGGUGCGAGAUCAAACCCUCUGCAGGGAACAGUGUCAAGGUCUAAAAGCAGCUGCAUCUGGGCUAGAGCCCAGCAGACUUUUGCAGGUCUAAGAGGCAGAGAUGUCACCUGGCCUCAGGUGGCUUUAUUCCUAAAGUGCUGGGCUGUGCUGAUGUUGAAGCCUCUUGCUCCCAAGACCUACUUCUGGACUAAACUGCUGCAUCAGGAUUAAUCACCUGCCUAAAAAUUCUGGCACAUCUCAUCAGAGACAGGACCCUGGCUUUAGAAGGAAUGCCACCUGGGCCACUGCAGCCACCCCCUGAUGUUCCUAUGGGAUGAAACACAGGCACUUGUUAAAAAGAGGAAAAUUACCUUAGAAGGCUGGAACAGGAAAGAUAGAAGAACAAGGAGCAAUCCAGCACUCUUGUAGGUAGAAAAGCAAUGUCAUGAACUUUUCCCUUGGAAACACAGAUGAAACAAUUUCUCUUGAAAUAUCUCUCACACAAUGAAGUACAAAAGGCCAUACAAUAGAAAGCAGAAAAAGGCCAAACCCAGGGCUUGAUGUGCUCUGCCCAAUAAAGAAGGAAGACUGCAGUCAGGAGAAAGCAAAGGUAUUAGUUUUGCUUGAAAUAACCAGGUUUUUGCUUGAAAAAAUAAAUGUUUAUGUGAAUUUUC